rnacentral:rRNA from 1 species
UGCGUAGGCGGUUUCGUAAGUCGUGUGUGAAAGGCGGGGGGCUCAACCCCCGGACUGCACAUGAUACUGCGAGACUAGAGUAAUGGAGGGGGAACCGGAAUUCUCGGUGUAGCAGUGAAAUGCGUAGAUAUCGAGAGGAACACUCGUGGCGAAGGCGGGUUCCUGGACAUUAACUGACGCUGAGGCACGAAGGCCAGGGGAGCGAAAG